UACGUAGGGUGCGAGCGUUUGUCCGGAAUUAUUGGGCGUAAAGGGCUCGUAGGCGGUUUGUCGCGUCGGGAGUGAAAACUCAGGGCUUAACCCUGAGCCUGCUUCCGAUACGGGCAGACUAGAGGUAUGCAGGGGAGAAUGGAAUUCCUGGUGUAGCGGUGAAAUGCGCAGAUAUCAGGAGGAACACCGGUGGCGAAGGCAGGUCUCUGGGCCACUACUGACGCUGAGAAGCGAAAGCAUGGGGGAGCGAACAGG
rnacentral:rRNA from 1 species